AAUAGCUAGUGAAGACUAAAUUUAGAUAUGAACUCAAGUUUGGGGAAAAGAUAUUUGGAGUAUAUAAGCUUUUAAAAAAAAGGAAUAAACACCGUGGCAUGCUUGUCUAGUUUUGUGGCCUUUGUUACUUGAGUAAGUAAGCCCGAGGGGAUUGUCUCUACACCUAGCGCCCUAAGGUCUUAAUAGCUUGGUAGUUGUUGGUCGAAAGCUCGUUAAGGUAGCAUUGAAAAGCCUAAGGGAAUAAGACAAUGCAUAGUCAUGAGGAAAAAAAAAUAAACAAAAAAUAUAUACAAUAAAGCGGGAAAAGUGCAAAAAGCCCCCGUUAUAGAAAAAGAAGAAGCAUAAGUACUCCAUUUUGACCCUUGUAUUUUGGUGAUUGUUUAAUUUCUGUUGAAUCUAGUUUAUUUGAUGAGUUCUCGAGUUGAAACUGUAUGAUGC
rnacentral:lncRNA from 1 species